UACUGCAACCGCUCGAUUAAGGUCAUAAGUCGACCUUUUGGUCGCACCGGAUAUCGGCGAGUCUGAGUAUAU
rnacentral:sRNA from 1 species